CCCCCUUCUCUCUCUUCCUCCUGUUACGGUCAUGGCCUUCCACCAUGACUGUAAGUUUCCUGAAACCUCCCCAGCCAUGCUUCCUGAACAGCUCCUGAACUGCAUAUGGUAGAACUGAACUUUGUUCUACUGAAAUUGCUCAUUGCCAUGUGAUUUGCUUUGGCGAAUGAAAUGAAACUGAAGGUGAUGUGUGGACUCUUCUUGGGGGAGGCAUUUCAUUGCCAGUGACAGAGAUGAAGUCUCACCAUAUUGCCCAGGCUGGUUUCAAACUCUUGGACUUAAGCAAUCCUCCCACCUCGCCUCCCAAAGUGCCAGGAACACACUUAUGUCUCUUACAGCCAUGGAAACAAUGAACUGCUAACAUGUGUUUUUAGAAAGAAUGUGGAAGUAUGGGAACCUCUUCCUUUAUGUGGUAAUUGAGGACUAGGCCAGGCACAGUGGCUCACACCUGUAAUCCCAGCACUUUGGGAGGCUGAGAAAGGCAGAUCACUUGAGGUCAUGAGUUCGAGACCAGCCUGGCCAACGUGGUGAAACCCAGUCUCAACUAAAAAUACAAAAAAUUAGCUGGGCUUGGUGGCGCAUGCCUGUAAUCCCAGCUACUUGGGAGGCUGAGGCAGGAGAAUCACUUGAGCCUGGGUGGUGGAGGUUGCAAUGAGCUGAGAUCGCGUCACUGCACUUCAGCCUGGACAACAGAAUGAGACCCUGUCUCAAAACAACAACAACUACUACUAUUGUUUUUAUACUGUACAAUGUUAAAAUUUUUCAAAUGAUAGAAAAAGUUUUAAAAUAAGUCUUUGGUCUAUCACCUAGUACUUAGUCCUACAAUCUUCAGAGUUUGUUUAUCAUUUCCAGCCAAUAAAUGCCUUUCCAUAAAUGUUUUUGAAUAUAUAAAUUAUACAUAUUCACACAUGUAUAAUCUAUGUUUUCAUACAAUUCUAUAUCUACUACUACCUUGCAUAUCAG
rnacentral:lncRNA from 10 species